rnacentral:rRNA from 1 species
GAUGAACGCUAGCGGGAGGCCUAACACAUGCAAGUCGAGCGGUAGACCCGCAAGGGAAUAGAGCGGCGCACGGGUGAGUAACGCGUAUGCAACCUGCCCCGGACAGGGGGAUAGCCCGUUGAAAGACGGAUUAAUACCCCAUGAAUUUAUGAAUUCGCAUGGAUUUAUAAAGAAAGCUGAGGUGGUUCGGGAUGGGCAUGCGUGGCAUUAGCUGGUUGGUGAGGUAACGGCUCACCAAGGCGAUGAUGCCUAGGGGAUCUGAGAGGAUGAUCCCCCACACGGGUACUGAGACACGGACCAGACUCCUACGGGAGGCAGCAGUGAGGAAUAUUGGUCAAUGGGCGGAAGCCUGAACCAGCCAUCCCGCGUGAAGGAAGGCGGCCCUAUGGGUUGUAAACUUCUUUAGUACAUGAAGAACAGGAUCUACGCGUAGGUUUAUGACGGUAAUGUACAAAAAAGCAUCGGCUAACUCCGUGCCAGCCGCCGCUGUAAAAC